UAGUGUAAUCAUAUUAAUAGUAGCGCAUCGGAUCCCAUUAGAACUCCACAAUUAAGAGUGUUAGAGCGACAGUAAUACUAGAAUAGGCGACAUCUUAAGAAAUCCUCAUAUUGCACCUC
rnacentral:rRNA from 1 species